rnacentral:ncRNA from 1 species
GUCGGAAGUGGAACGGCGAGAGCCGGUCUGCCGAUCGGCUCGGGGCAUGGACCGACGCGGGUCGUGGCAGCGGCCCAAGCCCAGGCCUUUGAUACGCCUGUGGAGACGCCGACGCCUGGAUCAUGGGAUCCAGCACGCACCGUCUCGGCGUGCUUCGGCACCUGCGUGGUCCGGACGUCAGCCUACGGGCUCCCCAUUGGGCCCGUCUUAAAACACGGACCAAGGAGUCUGAAAUGUGUGCGAGUCAACGGGCUAGAAAACCCGUAAGACGUAAGGAAACUGAUUGGCAGGAUCCCUCACGGGUGCACCGCCGACUGACCUUGAUCUUUUGAGAAGGGUUCGAGUGAGAGCAUGCCUGUCGUGACCCUGUCGGCUCUUCCUAUCAUUGUGAAGCAGAAUUCACCAAGUGUUGGAUUGUUCACCCACCAAUAGGGAACGUG